rnacentral:lncRNA from 1 species
GAAUAGGGGAGAGUAUGUGAAUGACAUAAAGUAAGAAAGUGGUCUAAUCUCUUCAAUGAAGAAAAGUAUUAUCAAGGUCAACUGAUCUUCAGUAAACUGCUCUUCGUUUCAAUGCCCUUGAUUUCUCUCUUUCUUCACUCAAGCUGAUUAAACACAGGCCUCAAUAGGGCUUUAUUUCUUCAGGUCAGCAGAUAUAAUUAAUGAUGGACUGAAAAUCAGCAUCUAUUUAUCAAGACCCAGGAACAUUACAUUACGCAUCCAGUUUGCACCAAGUGAUGUUGAAAUAAUGCCUAAGGUAGCAUAA